ACUUUACAAUGUACGAAAGUGUGAUAAGGGGAUCCAAAGUGCUAGUACCUUGUACUGGCUUUUUUCAAAGGUAAAACUUUGAAGAAUAAGUGGUGGGCAAGACCGGUGCCAGCAGCCGCGGUAACACCGGCGCCACGAGUGGCAUCCGCAUUUACUUGGCCUAAAGCGUCCGUAGCCGGUUCGAUAAAUUUCUUGUGAAAUCGUUAAGCUUAACUUAACGACGUGCAGGAAACACUGUCAAACUUGGAACCGGGAGGAGUCAGAAGUAUUCAUUGGGGAGCGGUAAAAUGCUAUAAUCCUUUGAAGACUACCUGUGGCGAAGGCGUCUGACUAGAACGGAUUCGACGGUGAGGGACGAAAGCUAGGGGAGCGAUCCGGAUUAGAUACCCCCGUAGU
rnacentral:rRNA from 1 species